GUGGUCUUAGCCAAGUGGUACUACCGCGACGGAAUCAAAAUCUGUUUCACUUUGACUGCGCAGGUUCGAAACCUGCUGAGCUCU